rnacentral:sRNA from 1 species
AUCACCCUUUUGAUGCCAGUUCUGUAUUAGCUGUCUAAUGUUAUUUAACAAAUUACCUUAAAUUUUAAUAGCCUCUUAAUAUUUCUUACUAACUUGGCAGGUCAUCAGUCUAUUUAAAAGAUUUGCACAUAUUUUUUCCAUCAUCUUUAGUUAUUUUCAACAGAAGGGUCACUGUGCCUAUUGAGUCAGACCGUUAUAGAUGAAAGAUGUAUGUGUUUACUAAAGACAGAAGUAAAAAUCUUCAAGAUGCAAAGAAGUUAUUUUCUGAUGGGGAAAAUACUUUUUAGUGAAGCUCUCUGAGUUAGAGUCGGUAAAGGAAAACAAGCCAUACAUAUUGCAGCAGAGCGGCUUUAACACAAGGAGCUGGCUACCCAGCUGUGGGAGGGCUAGAAAGCAAAUGGGAACGCUGAGUAACCUAGCAGUAGAGAUUUCAGGGAGCAGUUACCUUGCCUAGGGCUGAGAAACUAAACGAGAAGAUUAGGAUUUCCAGAAGCCACAAGCAUUGAGGAGAGAUCCUGUGGACCACUGUCCAAGUACGGCUGCAGCUCUGAGGGGCCCAAGGAGCUGGUGCCGACUUCUGCUAUGCCAUCGAGGUUUUCAAGCCUAUGGCUGAUGCUGCUGUGAAGAUUGUGGAGAAAAAUGGCUUUAGUGAUAAGAUUAAGGUUAUCAACAAGCAUUCCACCGAGG